rnacentral:piRNA from 1 species
UCCUGAGCACUGAUAUAUGGCUGCCUGUA